CGACCCACGUAACGCUCCCCGCAUUCCAACCUUUCUCCGAGCUCCACCGGCAGUCGCCAGACGUGGAAAUGCAGGCGUCUGACAAAAAAAAAGAAAAAAAAAAAGAAAGCCCGUCUAGGUCCGCCGAGCGUAGCGUCCCACCGUCGGCCCGCCGGGAGGGAUCUGUGGCAGAGGGCAGGACCGAGACACCAGACAAACUGCUCCAGACUUUACGUAACGGCGCCUAAUCACGGCCGCGACACGCCGGGAAUGCGUGGCCGAUAUUUCUUGGAGACAAUUCAGGCGAGCUGGUACUGGAAGAGCUGAAUAUAGUGGAACGUAGGCGACCGAGCGGCGCUACCCAGACCUUCAGCCUGCCACUGUGAACCUCAUACAACUGCACCCAGCUAUUCUCAGCCUUAAUGGGACGUUGCACACCAUCAGAGAUGUCUACCUUUCCGUAGUCAUCGUAUUCACCAAAGAGCUCGGAGUCGUCGUCCAGGCUGUCCCCUGACGUCUCUGAGAGGAGACCAACCCCGUCAUCCAGAAUUUCCUCUGAGAGAGGACCAGAUUAGCACAGAAUGAAACACCUGCAUUGCAACCUUCAGCUGAUGCACAGUUGAGUGAAGACUUUGAAGGUCUGGAGUGCUCCUCCUUCACUACCCAGAGUUCCAGCAGCUCUGAUGCACCCUCCACCCAGCUCACUGAUUGGUCAUUUUCUGAAUCAGGGUAAAUGAAAAAUCCAGCUCGCCCUGGGUGUAUUGCUCCAAUGACUACACUCGUUUUGGUUCUGCCGGUUCUGUUUCAACUCACCCUGGUU